AAUCAACGCUGGCGGCGUGCCUCAGACAUGCAAGUCGAACGAUUAAAGCUCUCUUCGGAGAGUGUAUAGAGUGGCGCACGGGUGAGUAACACGUAAGUAAUCUACCUUUGAGUGGGGAAUAACCCGGGGAAACCCGAGCUAAUACCGCAUAAUGCAGCGGCACCGCAAGGUGACAGUUGUUAAAGGAGCAAUCCGCUUAAAGAGGAGCUUGCGGCAGAUUAGCUAGNGGUAAGGUAAUGGCUUACCAAGGCUUCGAUCUGUAUCCGGCCUGAGAGGGCGGUCGGACACACUGACACUGAAUAACGGGUCAGACUCCUACGGGAGGCAGCAGUCGGGAAUUUUGGGCAAUGGGCGAAAGCCUGACCCAGCAACGCCGCGUGAAGGAUGAAGUAUUUCGGUAUGUAAACUUCGAAAGAAUGGGAAGAAUCAAUGACGGUACCAUUUAUAAGGUCCGGCUAACUACGUGCCAGCCGCCGCCGU
rnacentral:rRNA from 1 species